UUCUUCUAGUUUCAAAUAUGUUUUAUUAUGAAGCAUUGGUAUCCAUGUAUACAAUUGCACUGUUUAUUCUGCGAGCUUCAUUUUUACAUGAGACAACAGUAAUAUACACAAAAUUAUCACAAGUAUUACCCACAGGAUAUUAUUGCAAGAAUGUAUACAUCAAAAACAGAAUGAAAGGAAAAGCCUUGAGUCAAGAUAAACGCUGUGGUUGUUUCCUAACAAUUUAUUUUCUAGCUUAAAGAUUAGUGGGCAAAUCUGUUUUGGUUUACAGUCUUUGCUUUUAGUCAAAUAACAUUUGUAUGUGUAACGAAAACAAAUACCCUGAAAUUAGCAUGGAUACUAUGACUGCAGUAAUUCCCUUAGUACAAAACACAUACAUUUUUAUUACAUUGUCAACAGCCACAGAAGUACAAUCAGAACAACUAAAUACAAAAUGGGAUAAGAUUAACAAAUACACUAAAUCCACAGUGGACACAAUGACAAAAACACAAAAGACUGUUGCUGGGAUUAUGUACAUAUCAAAUGAACAAGGUGGAGAAGACAAUUGCUAAGACAAAGGCCUGGUAUGUACAAUUACAGUAAAACGAAUACAGAAGACAAGAGGCAGACUAUUCCCCACCCCUUAGCUUAGGGUUAUACCCUUUCACACAUUUUUUUUCUUCCUGAGACGUCAUGUUGUGAAGUUUGUUAUAAUGAUAAGUAACAUGCGUCUAUCUAUCCAUCCUCUUCGGCAGAUUGAACAUCUAACGGAGCACAUUUGGCUGCUACCUCAGCCAGACACUCCAGGCUUUUCCGGGUGUGACUACAUAUGUCUGCCGGUAUCCUCCUGUUAACGACUAUUCUGAUCACUCGCGUGGAUGGUUUGUUUGUGUCGCUUAUUUCAGGUGUUGCAGCAGGUUCAGGGUCCUGGUUUGGGUCGUGUACUUGAGGCAUUGAAACAGAUUCUUUGUUUGCCCUCAUCCUAGUGUCAACUAUUCUUAUUACCCGGGUCUGAAAGUCACUCAUUUUGUACCUUUUAGCAAGUUCCAUGUCUGUGCAGCUUGUUUUGGGCACGGAAGCGGUUUCCUUGUCUGUGUUGGUUGUUUGAAUGUGUUCCUUUAUCGUUUCCAUUAUCUGAGAUGUUUGAGCAAGUUCUGCUUUUGUUUCGUUUGCUUGAGGCCUUUGAACGGAUUCUUUGUCAGUCCUUUUUGCAGUUGAAGUAGUUUCCAUGAUGGUCCUGCCUAACUUACCAGGUUCCAUGUCCGUGCAGCUUACUUGGGGCAUUUGAACGAGUCCCUCCAUUGACCUCCCACUCAGUCUUUGAGCAGGUUCAAAGUUUUCCGCACCUACUUGAACAGGUUCAUUGUUCAUCUCACGUAUUUGGGGCAUUUCAGCAGCACUACAGCUUUCCAUCCUAUUGACAAUAAUUUUUAUCUCCCGGGUAAGAGCAGGUUCUCUGCCUGUUUUGCUUAUUUUAUGCAUUGAAGGGGUUUCCUUGCUUGUGUUGCUUACUUGAGCAAGUUCUUUCUUUGGCCUGCCUCUUUUGCGCUUUGGAAUUAAUUCCAUUUGAUCUAGUUCUUCAGGUGUCUUUGCAGGUACUUUCUUUGUCUGAUUUACUUUAGGCUUUCCAGUGAGUUUUUGGGGUUCAGCGGGUUCUUUAUUUAUUUCCCGUCCUUCGACACAUUGCUGAUUCAUUUCACCAGCUUGACGCAUUAGACCGGCUUCUGUGUGUAAGUCGGUUUCUUGAGAUAUUUCAAUUGGUCCCUUCCUUGUCCUCCCUCUUUUAGAUGUUACAGCAGGUGCCAUGUGUGUGUCCAUUUUCUGAAGCAUUUUGGAGGAUUCCUUGUUGGUUUUGGUUAUUUUGGGCAUUUGAGUUUGUUCCUGGUUUGUGCCGGAUACUUGGGGGACUCGUCUGGGUCUCUUCCUUGAUCUCAUGCUACUGGGCAUUAAAGUGGUGUCCGCAUUUACCUCGCUUACCGGAAUGGGUUCCAUGCAAGUGUCGGUUAAUUGUGGAAUUUGAACGAAUCCCUUCUUUGGCCUCCCAUUCUUGGCCUGUACAACAGAUUCUUUGUUUGUCUCAGCAAGUUUAAUGUCUGUAUUGGUUACUUGAAUGGGUUUGUUUCGUGUGUCAGUUACCUGGGACGUUUGGACAGGUUUCUUCCUUGGACUUCUGAGCUUGUGAACAGGUUCCAAGGUUGUGUCGGUUAUUUGUGGAGUGUGUUCUAUGUUUGUUUUACUUACUUGAACAAGUUCCUUCCUUGGCCUGCCUCUUUCGGGCAUUUUAAUUUGUUCCAUGUUUGUCUCGCUCAUUAGAGACAAUUGAGCAAGUUCCUUCCUUGGCCUGCCUCUUUUGGGCAUUAUAAUUUGUUCCAUGUUUGUCUCGCUCAUUACAGACAUUUGAGCAAGUUCCUUCCUUGGCCUGCCUCUUUUAGGAAUCUUCAUUUGUUCCAUGUAUGUCUCGCUCAUUACAGACAUUUGAGCAAGUUCCUUACUUGGCCUGCCUCUUUCGGGCAUUUUAAUUUGUUCCAUGUUUGUUUCGCUCAUUACAGACAUUUGAGCAAGUUGUACAUUUGUCUCACUUAUAUGAGCAGGUUUCUUGUUUGUAUCGCUGAGUUGAACGGGUUCCAUGUGUGUGUUGUCUACUUGAGACGUUUGAACGAGUUCCAUGUUUACCUUACUUACUUGAGAAGUCUCCAUGUCUGAGCGGUGCUCGCCAGUUGCGUUUACUACUGGAGGCGAUUGAGCAGGUUUCUUUUUCGUCAUCUUCCUUCUCUUGGGAUUUAGAACAGGUUUUUUCUUUGCCUCCCUUUUGUCCUCACUGUUCUUCGUCCAUCGACUCAAUGUAGGUCUGUAAAGGCAUGAGAGGGACAGG
rnacentral:lncRNA from 1 species